rnacentral:pre_miRNA from 1 species
AGCCUUCUGUAACCGUGCUGAGAUUUCGUCACACACCAGACCACAAGGGCUGAUGA